CCGGGGAGCCGGGCAGCCGCGGGGUCCUUUCAGGAUCGCGAGGAAAGUCCGGGCUCCACGAAACAAGGGUGGCGGGUAACGCCCGCCGGGCGAGCGCGGUUUUCAGGCCGUGCGAAGCCUAGGGAAAGUGCCACAGAGAGCAGACCGCCGAUGUCCUUUGCGGAACAGGUAAGGGUGAAAGGGUGCGGUAAGAGCGCACCGCGCUGCCGGUAACGGUAAGCGGCAUGGUAAACCCCACCCGGAGCAAGACCGAAUAGGGGCUACGCGCCGGCGCUCGUGCAAACGGGUAAGAUCGGCGGGUUCGUUUCGAACCCAGGUAGCCCGGGUUGGUCGCUUGAGCGGGGCAGCAAUGCGUCGCCUAGAGGAAUGGCUGCCGCCGCGGCGUAAGGUCCCUCGCUUGGGAGACCACGCCAGGUACAGAACCCGGCUUACAGGCUCCCCGGCGCA
rnacentral:RNase_P_RNA from 2 species